AGAGGGCUAGUCUAAAAAAAGACCUUUGAUUUCGACUCAGAAAAUUGUGGUUUAAACCCAUAGCCCCCUU
rnacentral:tRNA from 1 species